AGUUUCACAAAUUAGCCUA
rnacentral:snRNA from 1 species